rnacentral:rRNA from 1 species
AGAGUUUGAUCCUGGCUCAGAGCGAACGCUGGCGGCAGGCUUAACACAUGCAAGUCGAGCGGGCGUAGCAAUACGUCAGCGGCAGACGGGUGAGUAACACGUGGGAACGUACCUUUUGGUUCGGAACAACACAGGGAAACUUGUGCUAAUACCGGAUAAGCCCUUACGGGGAAAGAUUUAUCGCCGAAAGAUCGGCCCGCGUCUGAUUAGCUAGUUGGUGAGGUAACGGCUCACCAAGGCGACGAUCAGUAGCUGGUCUGAGAGGAUGAUCAGCCACACUGGGACUGAGACACGGCCCAGACUCCUACGGGAGGCAGCAGUGGGGAAUAUUGGACAAUGGGCGCAAGCCUGAUCCAGCCAUGCCGCGUGAGUGAUGAAGGCCCUAGGGUUGUAAAGCUCUUUUGUGCGGGAAGAUAAUGACGGACCGCAAGAAU